rnacentral:rRNA from 1 species
CCUACGGGAUGCUGCAGUGAGGAAUAUUGGUCAAUGGGCGAGAGCCUGAACCAGCCAAGUCGCGUGAGGGAGUACUGCCCUAUGGGUUGUAAACCUCUUUUGUCGGGGAGCAAAAGCCGGACGUGUCCGGCUGUGAGAGUACCCGAAGAAAAAGCAUCGGCUAACUCCGUGCCAGCAGCCGCGGUAAUACGGGGGAUGCGAGCGUUAUCCGGAUUUAUUGGGUUUAAAGGGUGCGCAGGCGGAUUUUUAAGUCAGCGGUAAAAUCGUGGGGCUCAACCCCAUCCAGCCGUUGAAACUGGGGAUCUAGAGUGUGCGAGAGGUAUGCGGAAUGCGUGGUGUAGCGGUGAAAUGCAUAGAUAUCACGCAGAACCCCGAUUGCGAAGGCAGCAUACCGGUGCACAACUGACGCUCAGGCACGAAAGCGUGGGUAUCGAACAGGAUUAGAUACCCGAGUAGUC